rnacentral:misc_RNA from 1 species
AUUUUUUUAUUUUUUUAAACCAAAAAAUUGUUUUCUAUUAUUUUUCAGGUGAAUACAAUUUCCAUGUUUUCUAUAGAAAAUGAAAACUUUAAUUUUCUUAAAAAAUGGAAAAUGGAAAAUAGGAAACUGUUUUCCACAAGUAAACAGACCCUAAAUGUUCAUAGAUAUGCUUUAUGCCUACUAUUUCAUAUUUACAAUGGUUUUUUUUUUUUUAAUUAUUGCAAGAAAUGACUUCAAGUUUUUUUUCCCCUUUAACUUAUUUGUUGGAUUGAAUUAUGUGUGGCUUUUUGUUUAUAAUUCUGAAUGCCCUGGUGCAUCCAUCAUUUCUGGUCAUUUGUUUAUAACUGGUAUUUCAAAUUUUUGUCAUGGUGGGUAUCAACAAGUAACUAUGUCAUUUUAUUUUUCUAUUUCCUGCUGCCUUGAACUAUUUUAUAGUUGUCAUAUAUUUCUAUAAUUUAUAUUUAUAUAUCUUAGAUGUCCAUAUAAGUUGGAUUCAAAUGUUUGAUAUUCUGUUAACUUUGUUUCUUAGACAAGGUUCAGGCAGUGCUUGU